ensembl:ncRNA R31.7 ncRNA
AAUCAAUCAUAGAAUGGGCUCACGGCUUCAUCCUUUUGUUUUACUUUUUUACUCAUUCUUUCUGAAACUCUACGAAGAGAUCUUCAUAACAUUGAACGCAGACAGUUAGAGCCAUUCUAACCAC